rnacentral:lncRNA from 1 species
GCUAAUUAAGCUAGUCUUAGCAACAAGGUAAAUACAUAGAUACGGUAACAAAUCAACCAAAAUCAAGCAUUAUGCACUUAAUUUUAGGCUGGAAUAUAUCUUAAACAAUUAAAAGCAUAAAAUGAUGUGUAGGUCCUUCUUCAAUUAGUUAAUAUUUUCUUUUUACUUAUUUGCAUCUAUACUUCCAGCUCAUGCUAUUAAGUUACAACAAAAUUAAUGCACAAUAAUUUCAUCAAAGAAACGCAGUCAAAAUUUCCUGAAUUCCAACCAUUUUCAAAGAAGCCACUUCCUCACCUUUUUUUCAUCACUUGGACUUGUAGGCUGGAAUAUAUCUUAAACAAUUAAAAGCAUAAAAUGAUGUGUAGGUCCUUCUUCAAUUAGUUAAUAUUUUCUUUUUACUUGUUUGCAUCUAUACUUCCAGCUCAUGCUAUUAAGUUACAACAAAAUUAAUGCACAACAAUUUCAUCAAAGAAACGCAGUCAAAAUUUCCUGAAUUCCAACCAUUUUCAAAGAAGCCACUUCCUCACCUUUUUUUCAUCACUUGGACUUUAUACUCACUCCAUCUCCGCCAGCAAUAAUGACAGCAGUAGUCAUAUCCAAGAACAAUCCAUGCUCAACCACCCCUUCGAAAGCUGCAAUUUCCUUCCCGGCAGCAGCCGAAUCCUUUAUGGGCGUCUUGAAAUACAAGUCCACAAUGUAAUUCAUGUUAUCAGUCACAUAAGGUUUCCCAUCACCAUCCAAUCUCAGCUUCGCUUCGCACCCUUCUUCUUUGAAUAACUCCUGCAGUCUCACCAAAUUGUACUUCCAACAGAAUUGCACCACUUCCACAGGCAUUGCCAGGCCCGACCCACCAAGACCAUCCACCAGCUUCGAUUCAUCCACCACAACCACAAACUUAUCCGAGGCGGCCUCGACCAUCUUCUCGCGCAAAAGGGCCCCACCGCGACCCUUGACAAGAUCAAGAUCUGGGUCAACCUCAUCUGCUCCGUCAAUGGCCAAGUCCAGAUGAGGGUGGGCAUCGAGGGUUGACAAUGGAACGUUAAGACUAGCAGCUUGCUCCUGAGUCCUCUUCGAGGUGGGCACACCCACAAUAUUCGUAAGCUCGCCGGACUUAAUCAACUCGCCAAUCUUGGCCACCACGAAG